CCCUGGCUCAGAACGAACGCUGGCGGCAGGCUUAACACAUGCAAGUCGAGCGCCCCGCAAGGGGAGCGGCAGACGGGUGAGUAACGCGUGGGAAUCUACCGAGCCCUACGGAAUAGCUCCGGGAAACUGGAAUUAAUACCGUAUACGCCCUUCGGGGGAAAGAUUUAUCGGGGUUUGAUGAGCCCGCGUUGGAUUAGCUAGUUGGUGGGGUAAAGGCCUACCAAGGCGACGAUCCAUAGCUGGUCUGAGAGGAUGAUCAGCCACAUUGGGACUGAGACACGGCCCAAACUCCUACGGGAGGCAGCAGUGGGGAAUAUUGGACAAUGGGCGCAAGCCUGAUCCAGCCAUGCCGCGUGAGUGAUGAAGGCCCUAGGGUUGUAAAGCUCUUUCACCGGUGAAGAUAAUGACGGUAACCGGAGAAGAAGCCCCGGCUAACU
rnacentral:rRNA from 1 species